CUAGGGACCAGAGAGACAUCAGUGCCUCAAGCCAGAGAGACAUUAUAAAUUCAAGCAGCAUGGCUACUGACUGCUUUGUCCCCAUAUGGGCAGACACCUGCCUUCUCAAACCAAGACAGCUCUCCAGGAUAUCUACCAGCCUACCUCAGCAUGCUCCACCCUACAGGUGACAUUAAAAAAUCUAAAACCAAUUGUCACAUCAGCCUCAGAUGGGAGGGGAGUAACAAAAUGUGCUAAAAUGCUCAAUAAUCAUGGCUUGUGAAGAGAGGACACAAUUUCCCCUUAAACUCGCAGCUUUCCCAGGUUAAGCCAGCGGUUCUCAAGAGUUUGUAUUCUCUGGAGUGGUUAUGAGUCCCAGUUGGAGAGGAGGAGCUUGCAGGGAGAACUGAAUCAGAAAUAAGAGAAGUCAGGGCACAAGCAGAGGUGGGAAUUCCUGUUUGAAAGUCCUCUACAAAGCUCUCUUCAUACCCUGUUUAGGGAAAACUGGGAAAAGAUGGAUCACAUUGGCAGCUCCAGAGCUAUUCCCUUGAUCCCCUCUUGCCUAAUCUUCUUUUAUAGAAGAAGCAUUUCUUUGCUGUGUACUUUUGCAUCUAGGGCUGGAUGUUAUCUGCUGCUUCCCUGAAAGGAGCAAGUCACCUCUGAGACUGCAGUGCAGGCAGCUGCAGAAAUUUGUAUCAUCAGGGCACCUGUGGCAAGAGAAGUAGAUGUGUGUGUGGCCCUCUACUGGCUCUGGACAGGCUCUGGGUUAAUUCAGCUUCCUUUGCUGUGGUAUCCAUUCCAUAGGUAGGGCAUGAGUCCAGAAAUCCAAUUUAUUGCUGUUCCACAGCACAUUUCAUAGCCAAAUAACCCUGGGAGUUAUGAAGUGGGACCUGUGGGCUCAGUUCUUAAUGAACACCAUUUGUCCUUAACUGAGGGAGGUGGGGAAAAUUGAAAAUUGGUUGGAAUGCAUUCCCUUGAGACCUGGUGCUUAUUCUGUCGUGUGACCUACAGUGUAUCA